UACGGGGGGGGCAAGCGUUGUUCGGAAUUACUGGGCGUAAAGGGCUCGUAGGCGGCCAACUAAGUCAGACGUGAAAUCCCUAGGCUCAACCUAGGAACUGCGUCUGAUACUGGAUGGCUUGAAUCCGGGAGAGGGAUGCAGAAUUCCAGGUGUAGCGGUGAAAAUGCGUAGAUAUCUGGAGGAAUACCGGUGGCGAAGGCGGCAUCCUGGACCGGCAUUGACGCUGAGGAGCGAAAGCUAGGGGAGCAACGGG
rnacentral:rRNA from 1 species